AAAUUACUGCGUGGUUCGUAAUGAAUAGAAUUUUAGAUCCACAAUCUAGAUUUAAAGGAAUCCAACAAUUGAGUUGCGGCGUGCAUUCUUAAUUCAUUUAAGAAUCCCAGAAACAACCCUGAGGUAACCUACCUGUUUCAAACAGGUUCUUAAAAUCCCUAUUCAUACGGCCAAGGCGGUAUUUUU
rnacentral:other from 1 species